rnacentral:rRNA from 1 species
UACGUAGGUGGCGAGCGUUGUCCGGAUUUACUGGGCGUAAAGGGAGCGUAGGCGGACUUUUAAGUGAGAUGUGAAAUACUCGGGCUCAACUUGAGUGCUGCAUUUCAAACUGGAAGUCUAGAGUGCAGGAGAGGAGAAUGGAAUUCCUAGUGUAGCGGUGAAAUGCGUAGAGAUUAGGAAGAACACCAGUGGCGAAGGCGAUUCUCUGGACUGUAACUGACGCUGAGGCACGAAAGUGCGGGGAUCAAACAGG